AGAGUCAUUUGGAAAGAACCAAUGGGCUUUGGUGACUGACCGACCAGAUGUAGGAGAUGGAGUGAACAGAAUCCAAGAUAACAUCAAAGAAAGUUAAUCAUGCUUUAAGGCAGCCUGAGUUCCUCUUCCAGGAAGCCUUCCCAGAAUUCUCAAGCCCGUGCUGUGUUCCCUUUCUGAAAUCAAUUAAUGCAAAUAAUCUGUAUCACCCUGUAUUAGGAUAUAAAAAUUAUAACAUUAUAAUCCAGACUUUGCAUAUGUUUGUUUCCCCAGCCAGAUUGCAAGCUUUAAAAGGUCAGGGAACUAUCAAAUCCCUACUGUGUCCAGCCCUGGGACUGCCACAAAGUAGAUGCUCUGUAAAUCCUUAGUGAUUCAGAAAACCUGUAUUCUCCUCUGUGCUGAAGAAGGGACUUACCUUUGUUUCUUGUUUUGAAAUGUUUUCAUAUUCUCAUUAUAUUUUUAUUUUGGCUGCACCCAUGGCAUGUGGAAAUUCCCAGGCCAAGGAUCGAACCUGCGCCACAGCAGUGACCCAAGCUGCUGCGAUGACAAUGCCAGAUCUUUAACCCACAGAGCCAUGUGGGAGCUCACUUCAUCUUCUCUCUACUUGGUCCCAGGGAGCCUGGAAGAGACAGAUCUGGAGUAUUAGCAUCUUUCCUAUGUAAGAGUCAAAUGCCAGCUCUUAGCAUUGUCAUCAGCAGUAAAGAAAUUUAUUCCUUUAUUCAUUUGUCAAUCAUUCAACAAUAGGGAAAUAGUGUAGCAUAGAGCUUAAGAGUCCAUGGGCUUUGGAUCUUGCUUCUAAUCUUAGACCUGUCAUUCACUGGGCCAUGCUGGUUUGGAAAAGUUAUUUAAUCUCUCUCAGCUUUAAUUUCCUCGUCUAUAAAAUCAAGUUAAUGUCUACCUAAUAAGAAAAUUUAGUGAGUGCUUACAGUGUGUUUGGGCAUUGCCAUUUAAUUCCGAUUUUAGGGAGUUCCCUUCGUGGCUCAGCUAUUGAUGAACCUAAGAUCCGUGAUGAUGUGUGUUCUUUCCCUGGCCUCGCUCAGUGUGUUGAGGAUCUGGUGUUGCCGUGAGCUGUGGUGUAGGUCGCAGAUGCGGCUUGGAUCCCAAGUGGCUGUGGCUGUGGCUUAGGCUGGCAGUUAUAGCUCCGAUUUGACCCAUAGCCUGGGAACUUCUGUAUGCCGCGAGUGUGGCCCUAGAGAGCAAAAAAUAAAAUAAAAUAAAAUAAAUAAAAAUAAAAAUAAAAUAAAAUAAAUUCCCAUUUUACAGUUAAGGAAAUUGAAACCCAGAAAAAGAUGCUCAGGUAGGAGGUAUGGAACCAGUGGUCGGUCCUAGGCAAUCUGGUCCCAGAGCCCUUGUGCCUAAUGCUGUGCUUUAUAACUUACAGGUAUGGCAACUGUCACCACAAAACCAUAUCUAAGUAUCAUAUGCAGUGUGUCUGGCAGUGUCAGCAGACACUGAAUAUGCUAACUAUUGGGUUUUUUUUAAAGUAAAUAAUGUUUUUAUUUUUUAUUUAUUUUUUUGUCUUUUUAGGGCCACACCCACGGCAUAUGGAGGUUCCCAGGCUAUGGGUCAAACCCACAACCUCAUGGUUCCUAGUCAGAUUCGUUAACCACUAAGCCACAACGAGAACUCCUGAAUAUGCUAAUUAUUGUUAAUAAAUAUUUUUAGCAUUUAAUAUGUCAGCCAAGAUGCAAACAGGCGAUCAUAAACCAUAAUGCUGGGGAGUUCCCAUCGUGGCUCAGUGGUUAACAAAUCCGACUAGGAACCAUGAGGUUGCGGGUUCGAUCCCUGGCCUUGCUCGUUGGGUUGGAGAUCCAGCAUUGCCUUGAGCAGAUGUGGCUCUGAUCCCCCGUGGCUGUGGCUGUGGCAUAGGCCAACAGCUGUAACUCCGAUUAGACCCCUAGCCUGGGAACCUCCAUAUGCCUAGGGAGUGGCCCUAGAAAAGACUAAAAAAUAAAAAUUAAAAAAUAAACUAUCAAUGGAAACCUUAGAGAACAUCCAAUCCAACUUCCUCAUUUUGCAGAGGCAAUAACUGAGGCCCCAAAGUGGGAGCCUAAAGUUGAAGCUUGGGCAAAAAUCCUGAUGUCCUACCCUGGAGUGCUAUGUCCUUGGCAUAAAAAAGUGUUCAAGAAAGACAGAGAGGGGGGUCUUAUCAGGCCUGUGUGCAAUUACCAAGCAGCUUUCCUUGGGAAGCAGAAGGUGAGAGGGGUGGUUGUUGACUGAUGAAGAGAAGCCCACCAGAUCUUCCCGGGCUCUCCUGGUUCACCAAGUCUGCAACAUUUUAGCAUUACCAUGUCUUUCUAAAUUUCAAAUGGCAACUACCUCUCCCUUCCCUGUCGUCUAAUGACGGUGGGGGUUCCAUUUCUGCUUACUUCUCUAAUUAGGGCAUGUCCUUAGCUCAGUGACCAGAUCUCUCUAAUUCUUGGGCUCCUUCUCUUAAAAAAACAAACAAACAAAAAAACCACCACCAAAAAAGGAGGGGCUGGACCAAGGUCCUUUUUGGCUCUGAAAUUACACGGGUUUUUGCUGGGGGAGAGGGGGCGGAGGGGUAGCAUGGGGACAGCAAUGUUUCAGAGCACAUUUAGUGACAAAAGAGUUUUUGGUUCGCUAGCUGAGGUACUACUACACCCAAGGUUGCAGCCACAAGAGGGCAGCAGGUCCUUGAGCACCUGGGCAGGUGUCACCAUAGGCCCCACAGGAAGACAAGCAGAUUCUCUCCUCAAACUUUGCCUAGGUCCCUGGAGUUCUCCUGUUAAAAUCCUACACUUACUUAUUUAGCGAAGGGCAGCCAGCCAGCUUGGGAUGAGACAAGGGAGCAGUUUUGCAAAUUAACUCUAUCACCGGAAAGAUUAAAGUCCAGGCCUAAAAAGGAAUUGGAUUCUAGGAAAGUAAAUAUUUUAUGAAAAAUUGAAAAUGUAUCCCUGUCCUAGUUUAAGUUGCCCAUGGCUCAUAUCAUCAGAGGCAGCACUUUGAGAAGAGCUGGGAGCAUUUUACAAGUCAUAAAAAUUUUAGCAGGCCGAAAGUUGAUUUUAAAAACUCAUUUGUGGAGUUCCUGUCAUGAAGUUUUGGAAACAAAUGUGACUAGGAACCAUGAGGUUUCGGGUCUGAUCCCUGGCCUCACUCAGUGGGUUAAGGAUGUGGUGUUGCCCUGAGCUGUGGUGUAGGUUGCAGACGUGGCUCAGAUCUGGCUUGGCUGGGGCUGUGGCAUAGGCCGGGAACCUCUAUGUGCCAUGAGUAUGGCCCUAAAAAAGCAAAAAAAUAAAUAAAUAAAAACCCACCAAAAAACAACACUCAUUUGUGGAGCUCCUGUGUGGCCUAGUGGGUUAAGGAUUCUGGUUGUCACUGCUGUGGUACGGGUUCAAUCCAUGGCUUGGGAAUUUCCACAUGCCUCAGGUGCAGCUAAAACAACAACAACAACAAAAAAAACAAGGAGUUCCCGUUGUAGUGCAGUGGUUAACGAAUCUGACUAGGAACCAUGAGGUUGCGGGUUCGAUCCCUGCCCUUGCACAGUGGGUUAAGGAUCCAGCGUUGCCGUGAGCUGUGGUGAAGGUUGCAGAUGCAGCUCGGAUCCCGAGUUGCUGUGGCUGUGGUGUAGGCUGGCAGCCACAGCUCUGAUUAGACCCCUAGCCUGGGAACCUCCAUGUGCCGUGGGAGCGGCCCAAUGCAAAAAGACAAAACAAACAAACAAAAAACAAAAGCAAAACAAACCAAACUCAUUUGAAAGGCCGUGUGUUAGAGCACAUUUCUUUUUCUUUUUCUUUUUCUUUUCUUUUCAAUAUCUACUUUUAAUCUCAUAUUCUUUUUAAAAUAUCAGGUAUAUUGGAAUAAACAUUG
rnacentral:lncRNA from 1 species